AGAAUCAACGCUGGCGGCGUGCCUAACACAUGCAAGUCGAACGAGAAAGUGGAGCAAUCCAUGAGUAAAGUGGCGACCGGGUGAGUAACACGUGACUAACCUACCUUCGAGUGGGGGAUAACAUCGGGAAACCGAUGCUAAUACCGCAUAACAUCGCAAGAUCAAAGCAGCAAUGCGCUGGAAGAGGGGGUCGCGGCUGAUUAGCUAGUUGGCGGGGUAACGGCCCACCAAGGCGAAGAUCGGUAGCCGGCCUGAGAGGGCGCACGGCCACACUGGAACUGAAACACGGUCCAGACUCCUACGGGAGGCAGCAGUGGGGAAUUUUUGCGCAAUGGGGGAAACCCUGACGCAGCAACGCCGCGUGGAGGAUGAAGCCCCUUGGGGUGUAAACUCCUUUCGACCAAGACGAUAAUGACGGUACUGGUGGAAGAAGCACGGCUAACUCUGUGCCAGCAGCCGC
rnacentral:rRNA from 1 species